rnacentral:rRNA from 1 species
AACUUAUAAUGUAGAUUUAAAUAAUAAUCUAAAAAGGUACAGCUUUUUAGAUAUGGAAUACAAUCCCCAUUAGAGAGUAAAUCACAACUAAGCCACAAUAGUUGGCCUAAAAGCAGCCAUCAACUAAGAAAGCGUUCAAGCUCAACAGUAUAACUACUUAAUUCCAUCUUAAAGAUAAAACUCCUAAUCCAAGACUGGAUUAUUCUAUUCAUAAAUAGAAGCAACACUGCUGGUAUGAGUAACAAGAAAUAUUUCUCCCCGCACACGUGUAUAUCAGAGCGAAUAAGUCACUGAUAGUUACCAAAAUUAAAUAUUUACCUACUACUAGAUCUUUGAUAUUAAUUGUUAAUCCAACACAGGAGUGCGAAUUAAGGAAAGAUUAAAAGAAGUAAAAGGAACUCGGCAAACACAAACCUCGCCUGUUUACCAAAAACAUCACCUCUAGCAUAAAAAGUAUUAGAGGCACUGCCUGCCCAGUGACUUCAGUUCAACGGCCGCGGUAUCCUGACCGUGCAAAGGUAGCAUAAUCACUUGUUCCCUAAAUAGGGACUUGUAUGAACGGCUCCACGAGGGUUUAACUGUCUCUUACUUCAAAUCAGUGAAAUUGACAUUCCCGUGAAGAGGCGGGAAUAAAAAAAUAAGACGAGAAGACCCUAUGGAGCUUUAAUUAACUAACUCACACUACUCGCAACUAAUAUCCUCCACAGAGGACAAAAUUAAUUUAACUGAGUUAGAAAUUUGGGUUGGGGUGACCUCGGAAUAAAAAUUAACCUCCGAGAAGAUCAAUUUAGACCCACAAGUCAAAAUUACAUAAUUAUACACUGAUCCGUCAACGACGAUCAACGAAACAAGUUACCCUAGGGAUAACAGCGCAAUCCUAUUUAAGAGUCCAUAUCGACAAUUAGGGUUUACGACCUCGAUGUUGGAUCAGGACAUCCCAAUGGUGCAGCAGCUAUUAAUGUGUUCGUUU